rnacentral:pre_miRNA from 12 species
UAGACAGUCAGAAGUGAGCUUAUUCAUAAAAGUACAGUAUAAUACAACAAGUAACUUUAUGUAUAAGCUAGUCUCUGAUUGAAACAUGCAACA